rnacentral:rRNA from 1 species
GCUACGCAAGGGCACUCUAAUGAGACUGCCGGUGACAAACCGGAGGAAGGUGGGGAUGACGUCAAGUCCUCAUGGCCCUUAUGGUAGGGCUUCACACGUCAUACAAUGGUCGGUACAGAGGGUUGCCAAGCCGCGAGGCGGAGCCAAUCCCACAAAGCCGAUCGUAGUCCGGAUUGUUCUCUGCAACUCGAGAGCAUGAAGUCGGAAUCGCUAGUAAUCGUGGAUCAGCAUGUCACGGUGAAUACGUUCCCGGGUCUU